rnacentral:rRNA from 1 species
GACAGAGGGUGCAAACGUUGUUCGGAAUUACUGGGCGUAAAGCGUGUGUAGGCGGCCGCGUAAGUCGGAUGUGAAAGCCCUGGGCUCAACCCAGGAAGUGCACUCGAUACUACGUGGCUUGAGUACUGGAGAGGUUGGUGGAAUUCUCGGUGUAGAGGUGAAAUUCGUAGAUAUCGAGAGGAACACCGGUGGCGAAGGCGGCCAACUGGACAGAUACUGACGCUGAGACACGAAAGCGUGGGGAGCAAACAGG